UGCAUGUACAGGCAGCCACAGAUCAGGAGGAGGAGAAGCAGAGGGGCUCACACUGACUCAGAUUCCGGGACUAGUUGACAUAGCCUGGAGUAAAACCUGCAUCCUCUAAUAAGAAAAUGAUGUAUGGAAGCAAUUUUCUAUGGCUACAACGAAGAGCACCACAAAAGAAGACAUGAAUUUCCAAGCCUAGUAUAUUUGAAGAUGAUAAUGUGGA